GAUGAAGAACGCAGUGAAACGCGAUAUGUAUUGUGAAUUGCAGAAUUCAGUGAAUCAUCGAAUCUUUGAACGCACAUGGCGCCUUCCAGUAUCCUGGGAGGCAUGCCUGUCCGAGCGUCGUUUCAACCCUCGAGCCCCCGUGGCCCGGCGUUGGGGAUCUGCCCAGGCAGUCCCCGAAAACCAGUGGCGGACCCGUUACAGGCCCUUCCCUUGCGUAGUAGCAUUCGCCUCGCAUCGGGAGCCGGCGGGCUUCCAGCCUCUAAACCCCCAUCAAGUCCGCCCCGGCGGCACCAAGGUUGACCUCGGAUCAGGUAGGAAUACCCGCUGAACUUAAGCAUAUCAAUAAGCGGAGGA
rnacentral:misc_RNA from 1 species